rnacentral:lncRNA from 1 species
GAGAAAUGUAAAAUUCAACUCACUGGGACAUUUUUGGCACUGUAAACCUUCCUAGAGCGAGGACCCUAAAGUAACUGUCAGUCACUCUGUGGUUCAUUUGUUCCUGUGUAGGGAUUUCUCUAACUUGAUAGCCAUGGUCUGACUUAUUUAUUUUGUGUCUCCAGAAAUGUGGAUCUGAGAGAAUACUUAUCUGAAGAAGUCCAAGCAGUCCACAAGAACACCACCUAUGACCUCAUCGCCAACAUUGUGCAUGAUGGCAAGCCUUCUGAGGGCUCCUACAGGAUCCAUGUGCUUCAUCAUGGGACAGGCAAGUGGUAUGAACUACAAGACCUCCAGGUGACGGACAUUCUGCCCCAGAUGAUCACCCUGUCUGAGGCGUACAUUCAGAUUUGGAAGAGGCAGGGGACUGGGAGGUAAGGAUAUCCUGUGAACACUAGAAGACCCUGUUUCAAAAACCAACAAAAAUGCUGAGCUUCUGGGUUGUUUGGGACUUGGUGAUGGGGACUUGAACAGGGCCUUGUGUUAGGCAAAUGCUCUGCCUGCCACUGAGGUCCACAGGAGAAAGGAGCAGUACAGAUUACAGAGCAACUUGUGUAAGAGUCUUAUUCAUCUCCUACCAGGAAAUCUGUGUAUUUUUACAUAUGUGAACACAAACGGUUCUGAAUAAUAUAUAAUAAAAUGCCUUGUGUUGGG